GCCGGAGCGCGACGCUCUCCCCAAGGACGAAGCCAUGCAUGCCCGCUCACCCGGGACGCGGCGGACGGCUCAGGACAACGGUUGCACCCCCCGCGGCGGUCCCUGCUAGCCGGACACCGCUGGCAACCCGGCGCCAAGACGUGCGCGCAAGGGCGGGCGCCCGCGGGCGAGCAGCGUGACGCAGCGACGGCCCGCCCGGGCUUCCGGGGCAUCACCCGGUCGGCGCGGUCGCGGCGCGCCGAGGGCCCGACGCCUGGC
rnacentral:rRNA from 1 species